rnacentral:lncRNA from 1 species
UAGUAACCAUUGUACUAACUUUGGAUUCUGUUUGUGAGGUGGCAGCUCUAUUUUUUUUUUUUCAGAUUUAUUUAUUUAUUUUGUGUAUAUGAGUAUACUGUAGCUGUCUUCAGACACACCAGAAGAGGGCAUCAGAUCCCAUUACAGAUGGUUGUGAGCCACCAUGUGGUUGCUGGGAAUUGAAUUUUUAAGACCUCUGCUUGCUCCGGUUAGCCCUGCUUACUUUGGUCAACUCCGCUUGCUCUGCCCCAAAGAUUUAUUUAUUAUUAUACAUAAGUACACUGUAGCUGUCUUCAUACACAUCAAAAGAGGGCAUCAGAUCCCAUUACACAUGGUUGUGAGCCACCAUAUGGUUGCUGGGAAUUGAACCUGGGUCCUUUGGAAGACAGACAGUGCUCUUAACCGCUGAGCCAUCUCUCCAGCCCCUGGAGUGACAACUCUUUCAUGUUGAGUUAUGUGAGGAUCAGAGGACAGUUUUGGGUGUCAGUCCUUGCCUUUUGCUUUGAGGCAGGGGAUCUCUCUCCUGUGGCUUUCCCAAUCUCUAAUUGCUGUGUGUGCUAGGCUAGCUGGAUCUUGAGGACUCUGUCUCCACCCCCAUCUCACCAUUGAGUUCUGAGAUUACAGAUACAGACUCUGAUGCCUGGCUUAGCUUCUGUGGGUCUGGGGAUUCAGACUCAGGUCCUCCUGCUUGCUCACAUUAGGUGGCUAUAUGUACUGUUACUAACCAACCACACUCCCUCCCUGAACCCACAGUGAAAUCACCACAGGAAAAAUAAGGUAGUUUUAUUCUUUUAAUUUUGACGUCCAGGAUGACCCCAAACUCAAGAUGAUCUUUGUACUUCAGACUUCCAAGUGCCGAAAUUAAAGAGUGCCACUAACCCAGGGUCUCACCAUCUCACAGAGAUCUUAAAGAUAAUGUAUCACCAUGCUGUUCCCCCACCCCACCCCCACCGCCCCCUUGAGAGUGAAUUGUUUCUUAGCCUUUAUCAACAAGUAUGAGGAGUCCUGCCUUUUACAGUAUAUUAUGCUAAAUGAUAGCUAACAUAUUUUUAAAAUUUCAUUUGUUACUCUGUGAGCGUGUGGCUACCAUGACACACACAUGGAGGUCGAAGGACAGGUUUUAGGAAUUUCAUGUGGUUAAGCCAAUAGGCAAGCACUUUUACGUACGCUAGGCUAUGCUUGUCUUACUGGUCAUUGUGUUUCUUUUUAAUCUUUCUGGUUUUGACUUCUAAAGUUUUGUGUGUGUGUGAGUGGGUAUGUGUGAGAGGGGGAGGGAGAGAAGUGGGGGGAAGACACAGGUUGCAUGCUCUCCAAGGUACACAUGGAGAUGAAAGCACGUUUUAGAUAUGGGACUAAAUUCAACAGGGUUGCACUUGCAAAACAUAAAAAUCUGUUGAGUCAUUUUACCAGCCUCCAGUGAUAUUUUUAACCAACAAACAAUUGUGUUUUCAGAAAUACACCAGUGAUCAACUAUAACUUAAGAUAUUUUUUACUUUAGUAAUAAUAAAAACUUUCUGUGUUUCAGAAGGAAGAGGGGGCUCUUCAUUUUUAUUUUGUGAAGAUUUUGAAGAAAAACUUAACAUUUAAGAACUAUUUCUCACUUUUCUGAAUUACUCAGAAGAGAGCAUCUUUUUCCAUUUGGUUUUUUUCUAUAUCUUUCCCAUACAUGCUUUCCUUAAAAUUUUGGGCUUCCCCAACAUUCUAGGCUUGCUUAUGCUUUCUGAGAAGCCUCCCUAUUCAUCAUGUGGCUGCCUAGCCUCUGUGUACCUACCUGCCUUACAAAUUCCAAGGCCUUUUCUCUUCUCCUCCCAGCAGUUACGGAAGUUCACAAACCUAACAAAAUUGUCGUUGAGCUAAAAAAAAAAAAAAGUGUGUGUGUGUGUGUGUGUGUGUGUUAGUUAAAGGAAGGGGCUGGAGUGUGGCUCAGUAGGAUGGAUGCCUGCUUAGCAUCCUUGAAGCCCUGGGUUUGAUAUCUGUCUAGCACAAGAUAAACUGAGCAAUCACAGCACUUGGGAAAUGGAGACAAGGAGGAUGAGAAUUUCAGGGUCAUCUGUGUGAGUUAGGAGGCCAACUUUGGAUACAAGCAAUCCUUGGCUCUUUCCUUCCUUCCUACCAAAAGUCAAAUACAGAUUAUUAUUCUCAAUAGAGAUAAAUAAAAUGUAUUUGGUAUAAUUAGCAAAUUGUUACAGUUGACCUUUUAUUCAAAGAUGAUAUGUUGAAUUUGGAACUCUAGGAACAGUGAGCCGGCUCAAAAUUCUUUGACUUGCCUGAGCUUUUUUAAAUAUGGGGGCAGAAGGUAUGGGUGGUUGUGUACUCACCUGCCUGCCCGUGUGUAGAUCCACAGCUUCCUCCUUUUUCAUGGCAUGCAGGGAUGAGGUCAGCAGGCUAUGCAUGCAGUAAGUGCUCUUAGCCAUUUUACCUGCCAGUUUUCUGAGACUUUUCAGUUUAAAAUAAGUUCUUUAUAUACUAUAUACUUACUCUAGGAAUUGGUUAGGGGUCAGGGGAUUGAGAAGGCUAAAGGCUCUGAAACAAUAUACAGUUUUCUAAAACAUUGUCUUUGAGGAGCUGGAGAGAUGGCUCAGCGAGGAAGAGCAAUGACUACUCUUCCAGAGGUGCUGAGUUCAAUUCCCAGCAACCACAUGGAGAUUCAUAGCCAUCUGUAAUGGGAUCUUAUGCCCUCUUCUGGUGUGUCUCAAGACAGUGACAGUGUACUCACAUAAAAUGAAUAAUUAAAUUUUUAAAUUAAAACCCC